AAGACCAUACUUUCAAGGAUCAUUUCUAGUUUGUUACUAGAGAAGUUUCUCUGAAUGUGUUGAGCACUGGAAACUUCCAGGAGGCGGUGCAGCAUUCUCUCCUGAGCGUGAAGCUCCUUCUUGAUGUUGCUUCUGCAACCGCCAUUAACAUGGAUAUUGGUUGGUUCUUCCCUUCCUUUGGGAGAGCAAGAGGGAGAGGAUGCAGUCUGAGCGGA
ensembl:snoRNA U3 Small nucleolar RNA U3